rnacentral:rRNA from 1 species
GAUGAACGCUAGCGGGAGGCUUAACACAUGCAAGUCGAGGGGCAGCAUAGGGUAACAAUACUCUGAUGGCGACCGGCAAACGGGUGAGUAACGCGUAUGCAACCUACCCUGUACAGGGGGAUAACCCGGAGAAAUUCGGACUAAUAUCCCGUAAUAAUAUCCGGAGGCAUCUUUGGAUAUUUAAAGUUCCGACGGUACGGGAUGGGCAUGCGUAACAUUAGCUGGUUGGUAAGGUAACGGCUUACCAAGGCUAUGAUGUUUAGGGGUCCUGAGAGGGUGGUCCCCCACACUGGUACUGAGACACGGACCAGACUCCUACGGGAGGCAGCAGUGAGGAAUAUUGGUCAAUGGGCGCAAGCCUGAACCAGCCAUCCCGCGUGCAGGAAGACGGCCCUAUGGGUUGUAAACUGCUUUUCCAGGGAGAGAAACUUACGCACGUGUUGCGUGACUGACGGUACCCUGGGAAUAAGCAUCGGCUAACUCCGUG